rnacentral:hammerhead_ribozyme from 1 species
GUCCAGCCGACGAGUCCCAAAUAUGACGAAACGCUCUUCGGGGAU